rnacentral:lncRNA from 13 species
AUGAUCCUCGCUGUCUGUUUGGUAUCACUAUGUCUCACAGGCUUGGGUCUAGGUACCAGAGUUGUCCAGACUCCUGCUGCCUUGGUAAUGACCCCAGGAGACUCCGCUGAUCUCCACUGUUCUCACACUAUAAAAGACUAUGAUGUUAUCCUCUGGUACAGACAGACUCAUUCUCAGGACAGACAGCUACAACUGCUGGGGUACCUUUACACAGACAACAAAAACCCAGAAUCUCGUUUCAAGGACAAAAUUAAAUUGAGAGGAAACGCAGAACAGUAUUGUGAUUUAAGUGUUUCCAACCUGACACAAGAGGACAGUGCAGUGUAUUUCUGUGCUGCCAGAGAGCACAGUGGAGCAGAUCCUGUCUCAGCCCUACAAAAAUCACAUCUCAAAUACAAAGACACACCUCACACCUCCACUACAGUGUUCUGAACCAUAUAAACAUCCUCACUACUAAACAUCCUCAUUACUAAACAUCCUCAAUACUAAACAUCCUCAUUACUAAACAUCCUCAUUACUAAACAUCCUCACUACUAAACAUCCUCAAUACUAAACCUCCUCAAUACUAAACAUCCUCAAUACUAAACAUCCUCAAUACUAAACCUCCUCAAUACUAAACAUCCUCAAUACUAAACAUCCUCAAUACUAAACAUCCUCAAUACUAAACAUCCUCAAUACUAAACAUCCUCAACACUAAACAUCCUCAAUACUAAACAUCCUCAACACUAAACAUCCUCAAUACUAAACAUCCUCAAUACUAAAACAUCCUCACUACUAAACAUCCUCAAUACUAAACAUCCUCACUACUAAACCUCCUCACUACUAAACCUCCUCAAUACUAAACAUNNNNNNNNNNGAGAAGUUACCAGGGCAUUACACCAUGAUGUGGUACUGAUAGGUCAGAGAAGUUACCAGGGCAUUACACCAUGAUGUGGUACCGACAGGUCAGAGAAGUUACCAGGGCAUUACACCAUGUGGCCAGCAGGUUGGCUUAGGCUGAUCUGAUACAUCAGCCCUCCCUAAUUCAUCAGACCAGCCUAGUUCAUCAGCCCUCCCUAAUUCACCAGACCAGCCUAAUUCAUCAGACCAGCCUAAUUCAUCAGAUCAGCCUAAUUCAUCAGACCAGCCUAGUUCAUCAGACCAGCCUAAUUCAUCAGACCAGCCUAAUACAUCAGCCCUCCCUAAUUCAUCAGACCAGCCUAGUUCAUCAGCCCUCCCUAAUUCAUCAGACCAGCCUAAUUUAUCAGACCAGCCUAAUUCAUCAGACCAGCCUAAUGCAUCAGACCAGCCUAGUUCAUCAGCNNNNNNNNNNUACUAAACAUCCUCAAUACUAAACAUCCUCAAUACUAAACAUCCUCAAUACUAAACAUCUUCAAUACUAAACAUCCUCAAUACUAAACAUCCUCAAUACUAAACAUCUUCAAUACUAAACAUCCUCACUACUAAAUAUCCACCAUACAAAACAUCCUCAAUACUAAAUAUCCACCAUACAAAACUCCUAAAGAACUGCAACAUUUAG